rnacentral:rRNA from 1 species
AGUGGNAAAACUCCCUUGACGGUACUUAAUGAAUAAGCCCCGGCUAAUUAUGUGCCAGCAGCCGCGGUAAUACAUAAGGGGCGAGCGUUAUCCGGAAUUAUUGGGCGUAAAGGGUGCGUAGGCGGUUUAAUAAGUCUAUAGUUUAAUUUCAGUGCUUAACGCUGUUGUGCUAUAGAAACUGUUUUACUAGAGUGAGUUAGAGGCAAGCGGAAUUCCAUGUGUAGCGGUAAAAUGCGUAAAUAUAUGGAGGAACACCAGAGGCGUAGGCGGCUUGCUGGGACUUUACUGACGCUGAGGCACGAAAGCGUGGGGAGCAAACAGGAUUAGAUACCCUGGUAGUCCACACCGUAAACGAUGAGUACUAAGUGUCGGGUAAAACCGGUACUGAAGUUAACACAUUAAGUACUCCGCCUGAGUAGUACGUACGCAAGUAUGAAACUUAAAGGAAUUGACGGGACUCCGCACAAGCGGUGGAUCAUGUUGUUUAAUUCGAAGAUACACGAAAAACCUUACCAGGUCUUGACAUUUUCUUGCGAAGUUAUAGAAAUAUAAUGGAGGUUAUCAGGAAAACAGGUGGUGCAUGGUUGUCGUCAGCUCGUGUCGUGAGAUGUUAGGUUAAGUCCUAAAACGAGCGCAACCCUUGUCGUUAAUUGCCAGCAUGUAAUGAUGGGGACUUUAACGAGACUGCCAAUGAAAAAUUGGAGGAAGGUGGGGAUUACGUCAAAUCAUCAUGCCCCUUAUGAUCUGGGCUACAAACGUGAUACAAUGGUUGAUACAAAGAGUAGCUGAAACGCGAGUUCUUAGCCAAUCUCACAAAAUCAUC